ACUCGAGCUUUCAUACAACAACUUGACAGUGAAUGCCAGUAGUGAUUCUUCCUUCCCCUCACAGGUUAGCAGACUGAGAUUGGCUUCUUGCAAACUGAGGGUGAUUCCUGAUCUUAAGAAUCAAUCAAAACUAUCUUACUUGGAUCUUUCAGACAAUCAAAUAUAUGGGGAAAUACCAAAUUGGGUUUGGGAAAUUGGGAAUGGUAAUCUUGUACAUCUAAAUCUUUCACACAAUCUCCUGGCCAGUCUGCAAAGACCUUAUAAUAUUUCUGAUCUCACUUGCAUGACUGUCCUAGACCUACAUUCCAACCAGCUCCAAGGAAACAUACCUUAACCACCACCAUAUGCAGCCCUUGUAGAUUACUCCAACAAUAAUUUUACUUCUUCCAUCCCAGAUGACAUUGGUAAUUCCAUGAACUUCACUGGCUUUUUUUCCCUUUCAAGCAAUUCCAUCACAGGAGUCAUCCCGGAAACUAUUUGCAGAGCAAAAAAUCUAUUAGUUCUUGACCUGUCAAAGAAUAAGUUGAGUGGAAAAAUGCCAACUUGUUUGAUCAAAAUGAGUGAGAUUCUUGGUGUUCUAAAUUUGAGGGGAAACAGCCUCAGUGGCACUCUAUCUGUCACAUUUCCGGGAAAUUGUGGAUUACAAACACUUGAUCUCAACGAAAAUCAACUAGGUGGAACAGUUCCAAAAUCCUUGGCCAAUUGCAGAAAGUUGGAGGUUCUAGACCUCGGGAAUAACAAGAUCAGAGAUACCUUUCCAUGCUGGCUAAAGAAUAUCUCAAGUUUGCGUGUCCUAGUUUUGCGAUCGAACAGCUUUUAUGGGAGUAUUACUUGUCGAGAGAACGAUGACUCCUGGCCAAUGCUUCAAAUUGUUGACAUAGCUUCGAACAACUUUGGCGGAAGAGUCCCCCAGAAAUGCAUAACUUCCUGGAAGGCAAUGAUGUCUGAUGAAGAUGAAGCACAAUCAAACUUCAAACACCUCCAUUUUGAGUUCCUGAAGUUAAGUAAAAUGUACUAUCAGGAUGUGGUGACAGUUACCAGCAAAAGUCGAGAGAUGGAAUUAGUGAAGAUCCUAAGUAUAUUCACAUCCAUUGACUUUUCAAUGAACAAUUUUGAAGGGCCAAUACCAGAAGAGAUAGGACGACUCAAAUCGAUUUACGGUCUGAACUUGUCACAAAAUGCUUUUACGGGCCCCAUCCCAUCAGCUAUUGGAAACUUGCAACAGCUUGGGUCUUUAGACAUCUCAAUGAAUCAUCUGAGUGGGCAGAUCCCCACAUCGCUUGCAAACAUAUCUUUUCUAUCCUUCCUGAAUCUUUCACACAAUGACCUAGUGGGAGAGAUUCCAACAGGUACUCAACUUCAAUCAUUUUUGCCAAAUUCUUUCGAAGGUAACGACGGCUUAUGCGGUCCUCCGUUGAAUGUUUGCCAAACAAAUUCCAGCAAGGCACUUCCUUCAGCAGCAGCUUCAACAGAUGAAAUCGAUUGGUUUUUCAUAGCGAUGGCAAUUGGAUUUGUGGUAGGCUUUGGAUCAGUUGUUGCACCUCUAAUGUUUUCAAAGAUGAUAUAAAUUAUUUCACGCGCAGAAACGAUAGUUGAUAAAUCUGUUGAUGAGAUUGUUAUACCAUUUGUUUAUACCAUUUGAUGAGAAACGAUACCAUUUGUUAACAAGAAAUUUCAAGUAAGAGGAUACAUUAUUUUGACAAUCUUUACCUCUAGUUCGAGUACUCCAAACCAGAUGUAGGCCGUUAAUUCAUAUAUAGACAUGCAUGCAUGUAAUAUGAGACAAAUGAUUAUUGCUACAACUAUAAAUAAAUUAAUAUAACUUGACUAUCGAAUAGACGUAGGAAAUAGCUACCGGUUUCAUAUUUAUUUGGGUGCUUAAUUUUUAGAGUAAUUUUAAAAUAAGAGAAUUCUUCAUUUUACUAAAAUAAGGAACCAUAAAAAAGAUCUAAAUUUUAAUUUUUUUAAACUUUUCCUUUAUUUAAAUAAAAUAAAAUAAAAAGUUUAUGACUUAGAAAAUGACUAUUAUCUUGUUCGCUUCGGAGCAGAGGAGGAUGUGGAAUUUGCUCUCACGCAAGGCCCUUGGACUAUCUUUGGGCAUUACUUAACUGUUCAAAAGUGGUCUCCAUCCUUUGAUUGCUUAUCCGAUAAGAUUGAAACCAUAGUGGCGUGGAUCAGACUUCCAGGCAUGCCAUUGCAUUACUAUCAUAAAAGGGUCCUUCGAAUCCUGGGGGAAGUGGUUGGUCGUGUUAUAAGGAUAGAUUACAAUACGGAGGCUGCAAAACGUGGAAAAUUUGCUCGAGUUGCUGUUGAAAUCUGUUUGAAUAAGCCUUUAGUCUCACAAUUUCAGUUGAAUGGCAAGAUUCAAAGGAUUGAAUAUGAGGGGCUCCCCACUAUAUGUUUUGAGUGUGGCAAGUAUGGGCACACAACUGAUACCUGUCAAAGCAAACAGGGGGUGCCGAGAGGGCAAGGCUGCGACGGAGUAUAUCAACCGGAGGGUGAAGCGACGGGAGUAACGAUGGAUCUUGCAACCGUUGAUAACCCGAAUAAUUCGCUUUUUGGUCCUUCGAUGAUUGUUGCUAAAAAAAGGAAGGCCACGGAAGGCUAAGGAAUGUACGAUCCAAGGAAAUUAUAAUCAAGCCCAGAAUGGUAAUGUUCGAUCUGGUUCCCGUUUUUCGCUCCUCAAUGCUAAAGAUAAUAUGGAUAAUGAGCGCAAAAUCAAUGAAAGGAUUCCUAGCAAUCAUGCACUUGAGAUCAGCCUGGACUUGCAAGAUGAAAACCAAAAUAGCAAUCAGCCCAUGCAACAUAACCAUAGAUAUUCCUUACGUAAACACAAUCAAAGGUCAAACCGUGGCAACGUUGCUCAUCCUCCCAGCCCUAGCCUGGUCCAGUUACGUCCCCGCCCUCCCCAUGCAAACCAUGCAGACCAAAACAAACUCUUAUCACCAGACAUACACAAUAUUAACCCAGCCCUUGCCACAUUACAGAAUCAGUCAGCCACUACCAGAGCCAACCAACCCCACCUCGCAAGUACUUCCAUUGAUCCUCUUAAACAUUCGGUGUACUCCUUUGCUAAUCCCCCUGAUGGUGCGGACAUGCUGACUCAGUUUGCUAGAGCGAACCCUCUUUUUGCCAAUAUGACAAAGGAUAAUAGUAACAAUCCCAUGGGUGAACCACCUGAUAAUGGGGGAUGGAAUGGGAUUGGUGAAGAUGAGGAAUCGGAAGGAAGCACUUAUGUGGCUCGAUGUGGUGUUGACGAGUCCUGAGAUGAUUCAGAAUCUGAAGGGUCUCUAGAGGAAGAGACAGAUAUGGAGUUGGAGCUUCAAGCUCACACCCUUCGUCAGUAAGGGUUUUGGUUCUUUUCUCCAAUCUUUUUGUUUAAUGAUUUUUUCCAUUAUGUUUUAGAAUUGCCAAGGUGCACUUGCCCCUGAAUUUCAAAGGACUUUCAAAGCCCUUAUUCAGAAGUAUAAUCCUUCCAUGGUUGCAUUGUUUGAACCAAGGAUAAGUGGGAAAAAGGCUGAUGAGUUUAUUUUUCGAAGUGGAUUUGAGCGGUCGCAUAGAAUUGAGGCCGAAGGUUUCUCCGGAGGUAUUUGGUUAAUGUGGAAAGACUGUGUUAAAGUGGAGGUGAUCAUAAACCAUAAGCAGUUCAUUCAUUUUCGUAUUGCUAAUGAUAUUGGUUUCAUCUCUUGGGUUACUGCAGUUUAUGCAAGUCCAAAUAAACAUAUUAGGAACCUUCUAUGGAAGGACCUUGAAGCAGUGGCUCGUAAUGUGCCGGGACCUUGGCUCCUUGGAGGUGAUUUUAAUACUAUUUUACAUCCCUCAGAGAGGAGAGGUGGUUCGACUCGCUUAAAUGGUGUUUGUCAGCGGUUUAGUGAUUGGUUUCAUCGGAAUCAGUUUUGUGAUCUUGAAUUCAGUGGGCCGAAAUUCACUUGGGAGAGAGGAAACUUGCUGAAGCGCCUAGAUAGAAGUUUUUGUAAUGAUGAGUGGGUUCAGAAAUUUGUAAAUUCCCAAGUCAUGCACUUGCCUAAACUCAACUCGGACCAUCGCCCUAUUCUAGUUAAUUUUGAGAGGGUAAGUCGGCAAGUUAGUGGUGUUAAGCCAUUCCGCUUCUUGGCGUCUUGGCUCACUGACAGCAGGUUUAAAACCUUUUUUUUUGAGACGUGGCGAGGGAGUGGAGAUUAUGUGAACUCGGCUGGCCAUUUUAUUACGGAGGUGCGGAAAUGGAACAAGGAGGUCUUUGGGUACAUACACAAACAGAAAAAUAAUAUCUUAGCAAGAUUGGCCGGAAUUCAACGUGCUCUAGAGUGGCACAGAUCUAGAAACCUGAUGGAUCUAGAGAUGAACCUAAAGAGGGAAUUGGAGAGUAUUUUGAGUCAGGAGGAGAUUUUGUGGUAUAAAAAAUCUAGGCGUGAUUGGAUUGAGUUUGGGGAUCGAAAUACUAAGUAUUUUCAUCGCCAGACAAUCAAGAGGAGAAGACAGAACCAAAUAGUGAUGCUUAAUGAUGAGCAUGACAAUUGGAUUGAGGAUGUGGAUAUUAUCAAGCUCAUGCUGUAACAUUUUUUAAGAAUCUUUAUACAAAAGAGCCUGGGGAGCAUAUCCCUUACCCUCUGGUGAGUAUAUUUCCUAGAGUUGAUGAGAUUAAUAUUGGCAAACUUAAUGCGGGAGUAUGUGAGGACAAAAUUAGGGAGGUAAUUUUUAGUAUGCAUCAUUUUAAGGCUCCGGGGAUUGAUGGCCUGUAUGCUAUAUUUUAUCAGACACAAUGGGAUACUGUGGGAAGUUCGGUUUGUAAUUUGGUGCAGGGGAUUUUUAAUGGACAGCGAAUUCCUAGUGAGAUUAAUAAAACUCUAAUUGUGCUUAUUCCGAAAGUUGAGCAUCCGGAUAGCCUCCGAUUAUAUCGACCUAUAAGUCUGUGUCCUGUCAUAUACAAAGCAAUUACGAAGAUUAUGGCGAAUAGACUAAAGGGCAUUCUCCCUGACUUGAUAGGGCCAAUGCAGACUAGUUUUGUCCCUGGAAGGCACAUAAGGGAGAAUAUUAUUAUUGCCCAGGAAAUUAUUUAUACCAUGCGUCGGAAGUCAGGAAAGAUUGGCCAGAUACUAAUUAAAGUGGAUCUGGAGAAAGCUUAUGAUAGACUAAGUUAGGAUUUCAUCUUUGAAACUCUAUGUGAAGCGGGGCUUCCGUAAAAUCUUAUCCAUAUCACAAUGGAUUGUAUCACUUCAGCCUCUAUGCAGAUUUUGUGGAACGGGGAAUGUACUGAGGAUUUUGUUCCAUCACGGGGGAUUAGACAAGGAGACCCUAUUUCUCCAUAUAUUUUUGUCCUUUGUAUCGAGAGACUUAGCCACAGAAUUCUUCGUGCGGUUAAUACUGGCACUUGGAGGCCAAUUCGACUUUCUAAGCGAGGUACCCCUAUCACUCAUGUAUUUUUUGCUGAUGAUUUAUUACUUUUUGCUGAAGCUUCUUGCAAUCAAGCUGCUAUGAUCAAUGAUGUUCUUAAUACGUUCUGCGUGAGCUCGGAGGCGAAGGUCAGUAAACAGAAGUCUCAAGUUUUCUUUUCUAAGAAUGUUAAACCGUGUAAUGUGCGUAAUAUUGGCACAACUCUUGGGUUCUCUAUGACUACGGAUUUGGGUAAUUAUUUGGGUAUGCUGGUUUUGCACUCGAGGGUUAGUAAAGCAACAUAUCAUGGCAUAUUAGAGAAUGUGGAGCGUAAACUAAAUGGUUGGAGUGCUAAACAUUUAUCUCUUGCUGGUAGAGUCACUCUCACACAGACUGUGCUGCAGGCGUUGUCGAUUUUUUCAAUGCAAACAACGAGACUACCUACAGCGAUUAUAACUAAACUUAAGCAUCAAUGCCGUAGAUUUAUUUGGAGUGGAAACUCGGAGGUUCAAAAGAUUCAUCUGAUUAAUUGGGCUGAGGUGUGUCGUUCGAAACUAUCAGGAGGUCUGGGAUUGAAGAAUUUAACGAUUAUGAAUGAAGCACUAUUAAUGAAACUUGGUUGGAGCUUGCUAGUCAAUAGUAAUAGCUACUGGGCACAGGUUCUCUGCUCGAAGUAUGGCUUUGAUCCUACCACUAUGUCAACUUCCUUGCCUACAAAAUAUGGCUCAUAUUUGUGGAAGGCUAUUGGUCGGGUUUGGCCAAAGGUUUUGCAGGGGCUACGAUGGAAUGUGAGGGACGGUAAGCGGAUUCGUUUUUGGCAGAAUGCUUGGGUUGCGGAUGUUGGGCCAUUCUUUCAUCUUGCCGUGGCUCCUAUUCCUGAAGCUAUUUUACAUGAUUGGGUAGCUGAUGCCAUUAGUUUUGAUGGUUCAUGGAAUUGGAGCCGUUUUGGUUUUCUUCUCCCUCAUAAUGUGGUCUUAAUGAUUGCAGCUAUUACGCCUCCUACCCCGGUUAGUAAGGCUGAUCAGUUUUAUUGGGGAUCAUCAAAUUCGGGAAUGUUCACGGCAAGAACAGCUUUUAACUCGAUUCUUGGAAACUUUGCUCAGGACGAGGAGGUGAGAUGGAAGAGUAUCUGGAAAUGGAGAGGGCCUCACAGAAUCCGGACUUUCCUUUGGCUUACUGCAAAGGAAAGAAUUAAAUGCAAAGCCGAGCUUUAUAGAAGACAUAUUGGGGUGGAUAUGAUAUGCAUGCGAUGUGGUUAUGCUGUAGAGGAUACGGCUCAUGCCCUUCGUGACUGUGUCACAUCUAGGAGAAUCUGGAAUAUGUUGUUAGCAGGUCAUAAGAGUGGUUCUUUCUUCACGUUGCCAACCCGUGAUUGGAUGUUCGCCAAUAUUCAAGGUAUGGGUAAUCAUGGUAGUAAUCGAGAAUGGAGUUGCAUAUUCGGAGUAGCCAUCUGGUGUAUAUGGGUGGCAAGGAAUCAAUUGCUUUUUGAAAAUAAAGUUGUGAAUGCGGAAAGCAUGGUUCGGGAUAUCAAGAUACGAGCUGAGGAGAUACUUCGUACUUCUGAGGCUUUUCAAAGUGAUAGCGGGCUGAGAGUUCAAGAUAUGUUUGGUUGGUUGCCUCCUCGAUGGCCGUAUUAUAAAUUAAACUCUGAUGGUGCAAGGAAGGGAUCCGGUUUGGCGGGUGCAGGGGGUUUAAUUAGAGAUGCUACUGGUAGAUGGCAUGGUGGCUUCUGCAUGAAUAUUGGUAUUUGUUCGGUAACAAUUGCAGAGUUUUGGGGUUUGUAUCAGGGACUGAUAUUGACUUGGAAAAUGGGUAUAAGAUUGUUGGUGGUGGAGAUAGAUAGCAUCUAUGUUACUCAGUUGCUAAACAGGAAAAGUCUUAAUGCUACCUUGCCUCUUGUUAAUGAUAUUCUUGGUCUUCUCUCCCGUGAGUGGUAGGUGUCUGUUCAUCAUGUUUAUCGCGAAGCUAAUUUCGCGGCAGAUUUCAUGGCUAGCCAUGCACUUACUCUCCCUCUUGGCAUUCACUAUUUUACUAUCCCUCCACUGGGCGUCAAGACCUGGCUUCGGAAUGCUGGGUUAGGAACUGCGUUUCCUCGUGCUUGUAAGCCUUAGCUUUUGCUGGGGUCCUUUGUUUUAGCAAAAAAUAAAAUAUUCUUUUAUCAUAAAAUUACUGUGUAUGAGUAUAUCGUCCAUUUAUUCGUUUGGAGAAUCGGAAGUCGUAUUUCAUACGUUCAACAGAAAGAGAAAUUUUUAGAAGAUGACAAAGAAAUGAGCCCAAUCAAGACCUUAAAAGGACUUUCAUAUCUUCCCAUCUUAUUGUCAAACAAAUGAAGUCUUCAGGAUAUUACUUUCAAAAUGGACAUGUAGCCAAAAGCUCUCAAUUUUCUUCUCCAAUUGCCUUCUUCUUUAAGCUGCGCGACAGGAUUAAUUUGGCGUAAGAGUUGGACACGUAUUUAAUCCUGCAGGUACUGACACUCCUUCAAUAUCCUUCUAAAACCCCAUUUUUGAAUUAAUUAAUUGAUCAUUGACGAAAAUCACAUAAAUGUACAAGUUUUAACUAAAACCGACGCAUACUUCUUACUGGAAUUCUUCUCGUCCGCACAAUGUUCGGCUUCCCAUCCACACAAAUCGUAAACACCAUUCUCUGCUUUAAGAUUUCUUGUGAUAAGUUCUAAAUAAUGUAAAACAAUAAUAAAAUUUAUGAAUAUAUGGGCUGGAGUGCAGGAAAAUCAUAAUAUAACGAGAAUAGCUGUCAUUGUAGUAUUUGUCCUUUUAUGUAAAUCUGGGUAAAGAUUGAAUUUUAAAUGCAAAAAUGGUGUUGUUUUAUAAAAAUUUUGGAGUUAGUGGCAAAUAGCAGAAAACAUAAGUUGGAGUAUCUACAUUAGAAAUAGGCCAGCGAUAUAAAGUUACUUUGCCUCAUAAAUAGAGUCGGCCUCUAAAAACAUUACUAAAAGGUUCUUUACGUGAAAUUUUAUUAUUUAUUUAAAAAAUCACAUCAUCUAUCAUUUUAAAACUCAUUUUAGAAUUAUACUUCUUCUAAUACUGAAAAGUAACAACACCCUUUAUUUCUAAACUAUUUAAUUUUUUUUCUACAGUUUUUAGUUGUUUUUUCACUCUAAAAAUUCUUCGAAAAAAAUAAAUAAAUUAAAAUCUUCUUCCCUCACCCUUCACAUAAAUAACUUUAUGGGUGAUAAAUUUUUUAAAGCAUUGUUAUCCUUAUUCUUCUCUUCAAACUUUCUCUCUCAACAAACCUAAAAAACAAUAGUUUCACAAAAAUUAUAAAAAUUAAUCAAUAAAAUAAAGAAAAAGAGAAAUGUGUUAUUUUAAAUUUUUGUAAACCAAUUGAAUAGUUAGAGUCAAAAAUUGAAAAAAAUUAACAAAAUAGAUUAAUAAUAAAUAUUAAGAGUUUGCAUUUUGCAGCAAUAUAGAGAAAAAAAUAGUGUAAGUAAAAGAGAUGGGAUAAAAUAUAAAUUGUUCAUUAUAUUUGUGUGUGUUUAUCCUUAAAUGUCAUUUUAAUGGAAGAGAAGUUUUAUCAUUAUAUUAAAAAGGUGUUAAAAGCACCACUAUCAGAAAACAAAAAUAUUGCUUGAAAUUUUUGCAGAUAAACAUGAAGGUAUUGUUUGGUUGGGAGGAGAGGAUGGAGGAGAGGAAAGUAAUUCAAAUUCUAUUUUUAUUUCCAUUGUUUGGUUGCACAUAAUAUAUAACAAUUUAAUUUCCAUUAAAAUUUAAUAUCCCUUAUAGUGUAGAAUUUGAAAUUCACACCAAAGAGUGAAGAAUUCAAAUUCCUCUUAUGUUGAAAAUCUAAGCUUCCAAAAUUGUCCUUAAACAUUUUUACUUGUUUAAUGCUAUUAAUAAUAAUUAUUUUAUAAUAUUAUAAAUAAUUUAAUAUUAAUUAUAUUUAAUGAAUGAUCUAAGAAAUUUAAUAAAAUAAAUAAACUUAUUUAUUUAUUUAAUAUAAAAAUAUAUAAAUAUAAAUUAACUACUUCUAGAAGAAUAUAGCUAUUUUGUGAUUAUUUUAUUAUAUACAAAAAGUGUAAUCAUUUUAAAGUAUUAAAGAAAAAAAUUAUAAUUUCUUUCUCUAUUAAAUUUUAUGUCAAACCAAACAAUGAAAUUUAAUUUUACUAUUUUCUUCCACUCCUUUCUUUUCCUCUCCUCCCCUUUCUUAAAACCAAACACCAGCGAAAAAUCUUGAGAAGAGAAGCAAAUUGAGUGGGUAUUGCUGCAGUGUUCACCAAAAUUUUUGUCAGAUUCCAUCUUCUAACGCCUCUAAUUUUAGAAUUGGAUCUUCAAUAUGUUGUUUUCUAACACUUGAGGAGAGUAGCAAAACCGGUGGCUAUUGCUGCAAUGUUUGCCAAAAUUUUGACCAAAUUCUAGCAUCGAAGGCCUCUAAUUUGCAUUAGAAUUGGGUCUACAAUAUGUUGUUUCAAAACUCUUGAUAAGAGGAGCAAACACAUAUGGCUACUGCCAUAAUAUCUGUCGAAUUUUUACACUCUUGUAACUAGCGUGAGCUCAAAAUAAUUAAUAAUCACAAUCAAAAUAUAAUGAAAAAAUAUAACGGACUACUUUUAGUUAUAAUCCCACUCAUGAAAACUAAAAACUGAGUGCUAAUAUUGAUAACACAAUAAUUAGAGGUAAAGAGUUCGGGUGUCCGAUGCUGCGGCCUUCUUUUAGUUUUAUUUAAAAAAGAAUUAGAAAUAAAAAUUUAUAAUAUAAUCCACACGUAAGUUGCGUACGACGAGUUAUUUAAUUGAGUUGCUUACGGGUCAAGUCAACUCCGGUGGGUCCGCGGCAAAAAUUAUUUUUUUACCUAAUGAGCAGAUAGAAACCGGAGAAGACGUUGGGGCAAAUAAUUCAGUAGGUCCACUGGAAACUAGGGUACGUGGGGCCUGUCGCAGAGGUGCCCACAUUCACAAAGAUUUGUUAUCACUCAGUAAUCAGUUGUAGCAUACAAUAUGAAUACAUGGAAAAAUCUUACCCAUUUUUCACGGUGUGAAUUUUGUGAAGAGCAAGAAAUUUCAUGCUAUUGUAGUAAAAAAGUUGCUAGCUAUAUGCAUGUGCUUAACAAAAGUUGGAUUCGGUGCUGACUUUUCAACAAAGCCGACCAUCCUAUUGCCUGGAAUUCCUCCCUUCUCUUCUUUCUUCUUUUACCUUGCAAUUUUCUUGUCAUGUCGUGCCAAUUUAAAAUAAUAUUCGUGCAUUAUACGAUGAACCCAUGAGCGAAACCACUUUUUCAUGAGUUUACACAUAUAAAUUCGGCACAAGUGCUAUUACUUUAUUCAAGUUUCAAUUAUAUUCGGGGUAUUCAGUUACUAACUUGUUUCCAAUGAGUGUUCUACAGUUGUCAUGGCUUUUCUUGAUACCGUUGUUGACGAAUUUCGGGGGAAUCAAUACGGUUUUGGUUUCUGGCCAGUGUCAGAGUGAUCAGCAAUCCUUGUUGCUCCAAAUGAAGAGCAGCCUAGUAUUCAAUUCUUCUCUGUCUUUCCGUAUGGUGCAGUGGAGUCAAAGCACCGAUUGCUGCACCUGGUGCGGUGUGGAUUGCGAUGAGGCUGGUCGCGUCAUUGGUCUCGACUUGAGCGAGGAAUCAAUCUCCGGUAGAAUUGACAAUUCAAGUCCCCUUCUCAGUCUAAAGUAUCUGCAGAGCCUAAAUUUGGCUUUUAAUAUGUUCAAUGCCACUGAAAUUCCAUCCGGAUUGGGAAACCUCACAAAUUUGACUCAUCUGAAUCUCUCCAAUGCUGGCUUCGCGGGGCAGAUUCCAAUUCAGGUUUCAGCGAUGACAAGGUUGGUUACUCUUGAUUUGUCAAGUUCGUACUCCUUCGGAGGUCCCUUGAAACUUGAGAACCCGAAUUUAAGUGGGCUCCUUCAGAACCUCGCAGAGCUCAGAGCACUGUAUCUUGAUGGUGUAAAUAUAUCAGCUCCUGGAAUUGAAUGGUGUCAGGCUUUAUCAUCUUUGGUGCCUAAACUGCGUGUUUUGAGCUUGUCCAGCUGUUACCUUUCAGGCCCUAUCCAUCCUUCCCUUGCAAAACUUCAGUCACUCUCAGUGAUUUGUUUGGAUCAGAAUGAUCUGUCGUCUCCAGUUCCAGAGUUUUUGGCUGAUUUCUUUAAUUUGACGUCGUUGAACCUCAGUAGUAGUGGGUUGAACGGGACAUUCCCAGAAACGAUUUUACAGGUACACACACUUCAGACACUUGACUUAUCAGGCAACAGUUUACUUCGGGGCUCUUUGCCUGAUUUUCCCAAGAAUAGCUCUCUUCGAACCCUGAUGCUCAGUUACGCAAACUUCUCAGGUGUACUACCAGAUUCCAUAGGCAACCUUAAAAAUUUGUCGAGAUUAGAUCUUGCACGUUGCAACUUGAGUGGAUCAAUUCCCACCUCAUUGGCCAAACUCACACAACUAGUUUAUCUGGAUCUAUCAUCUAACAAAUUUGUUGGUCCAAUCCCCUCUCUACAUAUGUCCAAAAAUCUCACCCAUCUAGACCUCUCAAACAACGCUCUGCCCGGUGCGAUCUCAUCCACAGACUGGGAACACCUCUCCAAUCUUGUUUAUGUUGACUUGAGGAACAAUGCACUCAAUGGAAGCAUCCCAAGAUCUCUGUUUUCAAUUCCAAUGCUGCAGCAGCUUCUGCUUGCCAACAACAAAUUUGGUGGCCCAAUUCCCGAAUUUUCAAAUGCAUCCUACUCUGCACUUGAUACGCUUGAUUUAAGUGCCAAUAGAUUAGAAGGGCCUAUUCCCAUGUCCAUCUUUGAACUCAAAAAUCUUAAAAUCCUUAUGCUUUCUUCUAACAAGCUCAAUGGCACUGUACAGCUAGCUGCAAUUCAGAGGCUUCGCAAUCUUAUUAGACUUGAGCUUUCAUACAACAACUUGACAGUGAAUGCCAGUGGUGAUUCUUCCUUCCCCUCACAGGUUAGAACACUGAGAUUGGCUUCUUGCAAACUGAAGGUGAUUCCUAAUCUUAAAAGUCAAUCAAAACUAUUUAACUUGGACCUUUCAGACAAUCAAAUUUCGGGGGAAAUACCAAAUUGGGUUUGGGAAAUCGGUAAUGGUGGUCUAGAAUAUCUAAAUCUGUCACACAAUCUGCUGAGCAGUCUGCAACGGCCUUAUAGUAUUUCUGAUCUCAAUCUCAUGACUGUCCUUGACCUACAUUCCAACCAGCUCCAAGGAAACAUCCCUCACCCACCACGAAAUGCAGUCCUUGUAGAUUACUCCAACAACAGUUUUACUUCUUCCAUCCCAGGUGACAUUGGUAAUUCCAUGAACUUCACCAUCUUUUUUUCCCUUUCAAGCAAUUCCAUCACAGGAGUCAUCCCUGAAACUAUUUGCAGAGCAAAAUAUCUAUUAGUUCUUGACCUCUCAAAUAACAAGUUGAGUGGGAAAAUGCCAACAUGUUUGAUCAAAAUGAGUGACAUUCUUGGUGUUCUAAAUUUGAGGGGAAACAGCCUUAGUGGCACUCUAUCUGUUACAUUUCCAGGAAAUUGUGGAUUAAAAACACUUGAUCUCAACGGAAAUCAACUAGGUGGCACAGUUCCAAAAUCCUUGGCCAAUUGCAGAAAGUUGGAGGUUCUAGACCUCGGGAAUAACAAGAUCAGAGAUACCUUUCCAUGCUGGCUAAAGAAUAUCUCAAGUUUGCGCGUCCUAGUUUUGCGAUCGAACAGCUUUUAUGGGAGUAUUACUUGUCGAGAGAACGAUGACUCCUGGCCAAUGCUUCAAAUUGUUGACAUAGCUUCGAACAACUUUGGCGGAAGAGUCCCCCAGAAAUGCAUAACUUCCUGGAAGGCAAUGAUGUCUGAUGAAGAUGAAGCACAAUCAAACUUCAAAGACGUCCAUUUUGAGCUCCUGACUGAUAUUUUCUAUCAGGAUGUAGUGACAGUUACCUGGAAAGGUCGAGAGAUGGAAUUAGUGAAGAUCCUAAGUAUAUUCACAUCCAUUGACUUUUCUAGGAACAAUUUUGACGGGCCAAUACCAGAAAAGAUAGGACGACUCAAAUCGCUUUAUGGUCUGAACUUUUCGCAAAAUGCUUUCGGAGGCCCCAUCCCAUCAACUAUUGGAAACUUGCAACAGCUUGAGUCUUUGGAUCUCUCAAUGAACCACCUGAGUGACCAGAUCCCCAUACAGCUUGCAAACCUAACUUUUCUUUCUGUUCUGAAUCUCUCACACAAUAACUUAGAAGGAAAUAUUCCAGUAAGUACUCAACUCCAAUCAUUUUCACCGACUUCUUUUGAAGGCAAUGAAGGAUUAUGCGGUGCUCCGUUAAAUGUUUGCCCACCAAAUUCCAGCAAGGCACUUCCUUCAGCACCAGCUUCAACAGAUGAAAUCGAUUGGUUUUUCAUAGUGAUGGCAAUUGGAUUUGCGGUAGGCUUUGGAUCAGUUGUUGCACCUCUAAUGUUUUCCAGGAGAGUAAACAAAUGGUACAACAAUCUCAUCAACAGAUUUAUCAACUGUCGUUUCUGCGUGUGAAAUAAUUUAUCUUGAUUUUAACAAUGUUAACAAGAAAUUUCAAGGAAGAGGAUAUAUUAUUUGGACAAUCUUUACCUCCAAUUCGAGUACUCCAAACCAGAUGCAGGCCAUUAAUUCAUAUAUGGACUUGCGUGCAUAUGAAGUCUUUAAAAGGACUUUUAUGUCUUCCCAUCUUAUUGUCAAACAAAUGAAGUCUUCGGGGUAGUACUUUCGAUAUGGACAUGUUACCAAAAGCCCUCAAUUUUCUUCUCCAAUUGCCUUCUUCUUUACGCUGCGCGACAGGAUUAACUGGGCGUGGGAGUUGGGACACAUAUUUAAUUCUACAGGUAUUGACAAUCCUUCAAUAUCCUUCUAAAACUCCAUUUUUGAAUUAAUUAAUUAGUCAUUGACGAAAAUCACAUAAAUGGACAAGUUUUAACUAAAACCUACUCGUACUUCUUACUGGAAUUCUUUUCAUCCGCACAAUGUUCGGCUUCCCAUCCACAUAAAUCGUGAACACCAUUCUCUGCUUUAAGAUUUCUUGUGAUAAGUUCUAAAUAAUGUAAAACAAUAGCAAAAUUUAUGAAUAUAUGGGCUGGCGUGCAGGAGAAUCGUAAUAUAAUGAGAAUAGCUGUCAUUGUAGACUUGUAGUUGUCCUUUUAUGCAAAUAUGAUUAAAGAUUGAAGUAGAAAUGCACAAAUGGUGUUGUUUUUGUUGAAAAAAUAGCAUAUCAUGCUAUUUUGAGGGCUUUUGAGUGGGUCACACUUAGCAAAAGUGGGAAAUCUUGUGAGAUUCGGAUUCUACUCCGUUAAUAUUUCAAAAGUAUAUGUUUAUUUUCUCAAAAUGGUGCUUGGGUGAAUGAGAAAUUGUCUCUCAAAUUUCACCUUUGAAGUUGGAAAUUUGAAAGGAAAUGAGGUUUAUCCCACAUGAGAAAAAGAAGCAUAGGGAUUAGUAUUUAUAUAUAAACACUUAACCAUAUAUAAACAAGAAUUUUAAGGAUAAAAGCUCUCUCUACACGCGCAUGCGCAGGGGGGUGCGAAUCCCUGAUUAAUUUGAUUAAACUCAUGUGCAUCCGCACGUCCUGCGUACGUGAAUGUCAGCCCAAAAUACCCAAGCUUGCAUGGCAUGAUUUUAAUUCCAAAAUUCAAUUCUUGUGCUGCUGUUACCUACCCACAUGCUACUCUGCACUUGAUACGCUUGAUUUAAGUGCCAAUAGAUUAGAAGGGCCUAUUCCCAUGUCCAUCUUUGAACUCAAAAAUCUUAAAAUCCUUAUGCUUUCUUCUAACAAGCUCAAUGGCACUGUACAGCUAGCUGCAAUUCAGAGGCUUCGCAAUCUUAUUAGACUUGAGCUUUCAUACAACAACUUGACAGUGAAUGCCAGUGGUGAUUCUUCCUUCCCCUCACAGGUUAGAACACUGAGAUUGGCUUCUUGCAAACUGAAGGUGAUUCCUAAUCUUAAAAGUCAAUCAAAACUAUUUAACUUGGACCUUUCAGACAAUCAAAUUUCGGGGGAAAUACCAAAUUGGGUUUGGGAAAUCGGUAAUGGUGGUCUAGAAUAUCUAAAUCUGUCACACAAUCUGCUGAGCAGUCUGCAACGGCCUUAUAGUAUUUCUGAUCUCAAUCUCAUGACUGUCCUUGACCUACAUUCCAACCAGCUCCAAGGAAACAUCCCUCACCCACCACGAAAUGCAGUCCUUGUAGAUUACUCCAACAACAGUUUUACUUCUUCCAUC
rnacentral:lncRNA from 1 species